AUCCAGACUCCUACGGGAGGCAGCAGUGGGGAAUAUUGCACAAUGGGGGAAACCCUGAUGCAGCGACGCCGCGUGAGUGAAGAAGUAUUUCGGUAUGUAAAGCUCUCUCAGCAGGGAAGAUAAUGACGGUACCUGACUAAGAAGCCCCGGCUAACUACGUGCCAGCAGCCGCGGUAAUACGUAGGGGGCAAGCGUUAUCCGGAUUUACUGGGUGUAAAGGGUGCGUAGGUGGCAUGGCAAGUCAGAAGUGAAAGCCCGGGGCUCAACCCCGCGGACUGCUUUUGAAACUGUCAGGCUGGAGUACAGGAGAGGUAAGCGGAAUUCCUGGUGUAGCGGUGAAAUGCGUAGAUAUUAGGAGGAACACCAGUGGCGAAGGCGGCUUACUGGACUGUAACUGACACUGAGGCACGAAAGCGUGGGGAGCAAACAGGAUUAGAUACCCGCGUAAA
rnacentral:rRNA from 1 species